rnacentral:rRNA from 1 species
AUUGAACGCUGGCGGCAGGCUUAACACAUGCAAGUCGAACGCGUGGCGGACGGGUGAGUAAUGCUUGGGACUCUCGCAUAUGGAGGGGGAUAACUACGGGAAACUGUAGUAAAUACCGCGUACCAUAGGAUGAGCCCAAGUGGGAUUAGGUAGUUGGUGAGGUAAAGGCUCACCAAGCCGACGAUCCCUAGCUGGUCUGAGAGGAUGACCAGCCACACUGGGACUGAGACACGGCCCAGACUCCUACGGGAGGCAGCAGUGGGGAAUAUUGCGCAAUGGGGGAAAGCUGACGCAGCCAUGCCGCGUGAAUGAAGAAGGCCUUCGGGUUGUAAAGUUCUUUCGGUAGCGAGGCGUUAACUACAGAAGAAGCACCGGCUAACUCCGUGCCAGCAGCCGCGGUAAUUC